AUAAAUACAUCUCAUUUUUCUCUGUUUUGUCAGUAGUUGUUUUUGGUAUUAUUCGUGCAACGUGGAAGCUAACUUAGUGGUUUGGUGUUCGUACAAAAAAGCAGUCUUAAAGAUCAUCUUAGUACUCUCAACCCGUAACCGCAAAUAGAAUAGCAGCAAUCUUAAGCAAGGUGAUUUUGAGCAGCCGAUUGUCAAACUGCAUGAAUUGCCGAUAGGCG